UGGGGGAUAUUGCACAAUGGGCGAAAGCCUGAUGCAGCGACGCCGCGUGGGGGAUGAAGGCUUUCGGGUUGUAAACCUCUUUCGCUAUCGAACAAGGCCCGCUUAGGGUGGGUUGAUGGUAGGUGGAGAAGCAGCGCCGGCUAACUACGUGCCAGCAGCCGCGGUAAUACGUAGGGCGCGAGCGUUGUCCGGAAUUAUUGGGCGUAAAGGGCUUGUAGGCGGCUUGUUGCGCCUGCUGUGAAAACGCGGGGCUUAACUGUGCGCGUGCAGUGGGUACGGGCAGGCUUGAGUGCGGUAGGGGGGACUGGAAUUCCAGGUGUAGCGGUGGAAUGCGCAGAUAUCUGGAGGAACACCGAUGGCGAAGGCAGGGCACUGGGCCAUUACUGACGCUGAGGAGCGAAAGCAUGGGUAGCGAACAGG
rnacentral:rRNA from 1 species